rnacentral:other from 1 species
UUUGCUCUGGGGUGUUUGUAAGAACAGAUCAGAAACCUGUCGACCAGACAUAAUUUCUGUCUGCUUUGAAGACGUGGUGUGCAGGCUCUUGAGGUCAAAGAGAAGCCUGAAGCGUUGCGGCAGGCAAAAAGUGUAGCAGAGGACGGGUAUUUCGCAGCGUCUACGGCACUUUGGAGCGAUU